CAUAGGGAGAAGGAACUGUGGCCCAAAUAGGGUAAAAAUUUAUCAGUGGAGCUUCUACAGUGAAGUGAGGACAACAUUAGAUUUGUGGUGGUAUUUGAUUUCAGACUCUUGUUUACCCCAGAAGCAAGGAGGACUUCUAAUGUAGCUGGAGGGCUAAACUAACUCAUCCUUCCAGCAGAGAGAAAACAAGUCAAAAAAGGGGAAAACUGAUGCAGUGGCCACAUCUGAUUAUGAAGCUGAUCCAUGCCCGGACAGAGCCAUAUAAAUAGUGUCACCAGAAAGUGAGAACCGGUGUUCGCAUGGCAUUUUUGUAGCCGGCAUUGCAAGAUUUCACAAAACGCAAAGAAGGUACCAAUGUGAGAUUUCUAAAAAUAGCUACCGCACUCUACCCAAGGUUUAAGAAUCUGAAGUGCCUUCCAAAAUCUGAUCGGGAUGGAGUGUGGAGCAUGCUUUCAGAAGUCUGAAAAGAGCAUCACUCCGAUGCGGAAACUACAGAACCUGAAUCACCAUAAAAGAAAACCAACCUUCUGCUGGUGGCAUCUGACUCAGAUAAUGAAAAUGAACAUGCGUCGGUCUGCACUGCUUUGGAUUGUUGUCAAGCAGAACCCAUCGGCAUGGAUGCAUGUCCUCUGGAAUGGUGGUUGAAGCAUGAAGGGACAUAUGAAUCUUUAGCGCAUCUGGCACGUAAAUAUCUUGCAACGCCAGCUACAACAGUGUCAUGCGAACGCCUGUUCUCACUUUCAGGUAACAUUUGCUGUUCUCCCUCCUACCCUUAGAAUUAUGAACUCUACCAUUUUAUGAUCACUUUCACCCAAGCUGCCUUCCACUUUCAAAUUCUCAACCAGUUCCUCCCCAUUUGUCAAAAUCAAAUCUAGAACAACCUCUCCCCUAGUAGCUUUCUCCACUUUCUGAAAUAAAAAAUUGUCUCCAAUACAUUCCAAGAACUUGCUGGAUAAUCUGUGCCCUGCUGUGUUGUUUUCCCAACAGAUACUACAGUCCUACUAAACUACUUUGGUAGUAAUGUCUGAUGUUGUGUUUAAGAAGUUGUGGUAUCGUUAGCAAAUAUGUACUGUAGAUAUCACCUCCUCAUUAUUGUUUGGAAAACCUGUUUAUUGCAUUUCAAUGUAUCUGACUUUUAAUUCCAUUCUGAAGUUGCAUUUAACUUCGGUAUCAUAAUAUUGUGCAGUACUGCUUUGAGAAACUGCUGAUUAUUAGCUAAAAUAGUUCUGCAACAGCAUGCAUAUUGCUACCACAUCAUAAAAUUGUAACUGACUGAGAAUUGAAAUGACACCUUGAUUGCUGAGCGCUAUGAUGAACAUAUUACAUUUAAUUGAUAGUGCAGCAUUGCAGGAGGAGGAUGAACUAGAAAACACAAAGGUAAAAGUUACUGUCAUGUAAAUGUUUCCUAUGAAAGCCCAUUCUACUUGAUAAUAGCAUGAAUUUUUAAAAAGGCCAUUAGAUGUGGUUGGUAACACCAAUAAUAUACAUGGAAGAGAUAAUUAUACCAUUUAAUGACCAGUUUGUGAGAAAGUUAAUGGCCUGAGAAGUGUUAGUGCCAGCAAGUAUUUCAGGGAUUAGUGAAGCGCUGUUUGAAAGCAUGUUUUAAAUGUUCAUUCCCUUUAAUACUCAAUACUAUAUUUUCAGUUCCUUAAUAGGAUUUCUUAAUUGAAGUAACUGGUAUGGGUUGGAAAUAGGAUCUCUUUGAGCUUUUUCUAAACUGCCCACCACCACCAUAAGACCUAGGUGCUGAUGGCAUUUUAUUCUGGUGGCCAUUUGGAAAUCUGCAUGCGCGAAGUUUUGAGAUCCAGGACCAGAGCCAGAAUGGAGUCUAAGAAACCUGCUGCCACACUGCUUACAAUGCAUUCUAGCUGGAGGCAAAUUCUGCUGCAUAUUUUAACAGGCAAACCUCUUUUUCACAUGUGAUACCAGUUUACAAGCCAGUGAAGCAAGUCAGUGCAGCAGCCCUCUCCACAAUACCUCUUCCUAAAGAAGGUGACAAAUAAAAAUAAUGGGACGCCACGUGGGUGUCUGCGUUAGCAUGUCUGAUGCUAAUAUAACAGGAUCAGGGCUAAUAUCAGUAUCAUUAUCACAAUAUUACCUACAGCCUGAACUGAGAUCAGGGCCAGCUUGUUCUAGGCACAGUCCAAGCAGACAGUCCCUGCAGGAAGAGUUUGCACUCUAAAUACACAACACACACACAGCGUGGAAGAAAGGAAGUAAUAUUACCCAAGUUUUAUGGAUAGGGAAUGGAGACACAGCAUGAUUAUAUGGCAUGGCCAAGAAAGUGUCUGAAAGAGCUAGCCAUUUAAUUCUGAUCUCAGUCUUAGUCUGGUGCUUUAACCACAAAACAAUACUUUCAUGCAUUGCUUUAUUAUUUGUGGCAAAUAAAUAAAAAUGAGCUAAAUACAAAAUAUUAUUCCUAAUCUAUCAGGUUUAAAAAAAAUCUUUAAUUCCAGGAACUAGAUUCUCUUUAAAACUACUUCCCAAAUUGGAC